rnacentral:lncRNA from 1 species
GCAUGCAGGGACCAUCACAGCAACUGAUUACAGCGGCCACGAACGUCCGUGUCGGAGGAUUUUCGAGCGAAGCACACCAAGAUGGGUCAGAUGGAGACGAACCGACGACAGAAAUAUUCAAGGAGUGGUCGAAACGUGGGGACGACAGCUUCUCUGUUGACACUUCAUGCUCUGCGUGUUCCAGAUUUCUCCGAAUUCUCGUCGUUGGCGAUGCCGGGACAGGCAAGUCAUCGCUUCUUCAUUCUCGUUGCCACACUUCUUGGCCUCUCAACUACUCCGGAUGACUCCGACACUGUCAUCGAGGAACGAGUUGGGAAGCUCCGAAAAUCCGAGAUGGCGGACGAUUCGAUGAUGCGGGUCCAGCGGAAUGGUGUAAGAGAGUAGAUAGACAAGAGACAGCAUCUGGGAGAGGGAGGCAAGAGAAAGCGAUAAGAGAGGCAACAAGUUCGUACGCCUUCAGGGCCCAGGCGGGGCACGGAAAAACUUCCUGUGAUGUUGGCGACGAAGAGGCGAGUUCUUUGAUGAGCAACAAAGGCGACGUUUGUGGGGAAGGAAGAGAAGAACAGGCAAGUUUCUGCGCGUCGUCCGAAAGAUGCCUCUCAGGGACGGCCGCACCUGCUGAGGUAGAGAUUCCACCGAAUGGUCAAACCGCCAUGCACGAUCAGUCCAAGUGUCAUACCCCAGAAUCAUCCUGUCCUUUCGUUGCGUGGGCUGAGGAAAAGGCAAAGCGGGAGAAAUUGCCGGCAACCCUGAUGACUUCCUCUUCUUUCUCUCCCAGUAUAGCGUCGAGCCGGUCACCGGCCAUCCCUCCAUCGUGUUCCCCCACUGUUGCUUGUGGCCUCUCCCCGUCUUCCUCGUUUUCUUUCGCUUCGUCCUUCCGUCGUCACCCGUUAUCUUCUUCGAGUCAUUCUCGCUUUCCUUCCUCUACAUCCCGAGUGGAGAGCAGGCAGUCCGCGUCGGAGACAACCUCGCCAGGUAUUGAGUCUUUGUACUCCGCAGAGGAACAAGACCGUCCCGCAUGUCGCCACCCAGGGGCCUACGAGUGGAAGUGUGGAGUCCGAAUUUUUCAUCUUUUCUGGGAUUUCUCCUCGGCAGACUACUCUGCGAGGGAAGGAAACAUCCGCUUGGCUACGUUCUCUCCAGCGCCUUCCAGUCCGUGUGUCAAUGCGUCCAGCAGGAGCUCACCGCAAGACCCCUCAUUCGUUGCGGAUCCCACUUCAUCUUCAUCCUGUCCCUCGUUACCGUGUUCCUCUCAGUGCCCGUCUCCAACAGCAUUUGCUUCCUCACCUUCGGGGUCUGUCUACCGGUCAAGUUGUCCAGUAGAAUUUUGGGAGGUUGGAGGCACUGAAGCACUCGAGAGCGUCCGGAGUCUCGUGUAUGGGCAGCACUUUGACGGCGUUUGCGUUUGCUUCGAAGCGACGUCUUCCGCCUCCUUCCACCAUGCUGCUCUCUGGACACGGGAACUCUGCGUAAGUCUCCACUUGCCUUCGUCUUUUCUUUUUCCUUCCAGCAAGCCUCCUGCUUCCGCCUCGAGCAACGGCAGUGCCUUCCUCUCGCCGCCCUCGUCCCUCUCGUAUUGGCCCUCAACUUUCUCUGUCGCAGCAGUUCCAGCUUAGCCGGCGGGGUAGACGCGGGACGGGGCCGCGGGAGGAAGAGUCCGAAGGAUAUACGCAAGUCACCGUUGACAAACUGCGCACAGAGUCGUCUACCGAAAGUCGAUCUGCAGUGUCUUCUGUGAUUCAGUCGCCUCCGUUGUCUGUGGGGAACGCAAUCCGCACCACCGCGAGCACUGUGGUAAGCCUUGGAUCUCUAAUCGCCUCUCCAGUUAACUCCCUGCUCGCGGGCGAGAGGGAGCGCGAAACUGUUGACCCCGAUGACAGGGACGAAGACGAGACUUCGGGACUCAAAAAGACGGAACGGGACUUCGGAAAGAAUGGCAACAGCAGAGCAGGAUUCGCCUUGAGGAAAUUGGGAGCUAGAGGGCCAGGCCGCCUCGUUUCCUCGUUCUUUUCCUGUUCUUCAGUGGGCAUGAGAGCAAGUCGGAGCAGUGCCGACAGCAAUGGCAACAGUGACGGAGAUGAACAAGGCAGAGAAGAAAGGGACGAAGGUGCGUGUGCAGAACGGUCUGAGGAGGGCAGUCUAGAUGCAUGGGAGCAGGCGGAUUCUAAGACCGAGACGCCAGCGAUUUCAAACAGGAAUAAGGAAGAAACUUGUGAGAGGUCGGAUAGAGAAGGAAGCGCAGAAUCCACAGAAGACGACAGGAGCAUCGACUCGUUUUCGGUUUCCUGUGCCUCGAACAAAGAACGUGAGCAACAUCAUCUCGCCAUCCGUCUUCUGCAAGGUGUCUGUCCUCUCCUCCUCGUGGGGACCAAACAUGACCUUCUCCCGUUCAGCCCGUCUCGCCAGCAGCUGUCAGCUUUGGAGCCUUCUGGGUCAGGGACAGAGGCCGGAGACAAGAGUUUUCUUCCCUUUCUGAAACUUCUACGAAGUCGCUCGUACGUGUUCAAUAGUCUCCCCUUUUUUACUAACGCUUCGUCACUGAGACAAGCAGAGGCGGAGAACCUUGAAUCUGAAACGAAACAGCGUUGCCUCCGCUCGCCGGGUUGCAGGCGACAUCCAAAGAGCAAACUGGGCCGCCGCCAGUUAAGGAUCUCGCGUUCGCUCGUAGCCAGUUCUGCCAGAGUUCCUUCGGGACAACGAGCGAGAAUUUCCUUGCGCGUUUUUGUGGGGGGCUGGGGACUCGCAAGUUGUCUUGGUGCGAAUCCCGUCUAGACAUGGACGCAGAAGAAAAUGCUCGGCUGAGUCGCAGAAUUUGCUAUAUUCUAAAUUCGUCGCCUCUCCUCCUUACCAGUGCCUGGUUCCACUCCUUCGACGUCACCACGCUUUCUGCCUCUUUCUCAGACGCGUUGCUCUGUCAGAGACUCUUUCAGCAGCAGGCGCAAACGGCGCAACCUGGGAAAAUGGAAACACCACACUACUGCCCAGGCAUUUCAGAGUCGGAAGAGAGACUCUGCCCUCACACCUCCCAGGGGGAAAACACGGGGCGGCGGAAGGUCGACAGUACACGUCCUAGACCGCUCAUAUCACACCAAAGGAGCUCUUCCACUCCUUAUAACCAUUUGCAAAGAAGGUCUCCCUAGAAGGGGGUAAGAGGGGUUUACCCGUGGGUGUUAUUCCACGAAUACUCGGUGUGAUUGCGGGUCAGUCGGCGGCAACAAGGGUCGGUCUAUAGUGCACUAGGGAGGAAAACGCCCGUGCCUUAGUGUGGUUUCUCAUGUACGGAAACUGGCGCAUGUGUUCCCUUUUAAGCCACGUACGCUUAGCUCCGUAUCCAUGGAAGACAGCGAGCAGUAUGCGUGUCAGCGAAAGGCGCGAGUGCGCACGCGCUUUCUUCGGCGAAACAUCGGGUUUUUUAGGACCAGAAAAAGUUGCCGGGGACGUGCCUCGUGUGGGCAGCAGCCAGCUUGGUAGUUGACAACGGAUUCAAGAUUCGCAUGCAGCGGCAAAGCGAACUGGAUUUGUGUAAGAGAAACCCUCCGAUGUUUAUGAUGUAAGGACACAAGGUGGGAACAGCAGUGCCUUGCUGUUUCUCGUCAGUCGUCGUGGCAGCGACGGGUCAGUGCAGUUCUGUUCUUGAGACAGACUCAGGUAGGAACGAUAGUCCGCCGUCAGAUAAAAUCGUUGAGUCGGGUUAAGAACCUCCGGCCUUACAUGCCCUAUCUAUCAUUUGAAAUGAAAAAAAGUGCGUCAAAUAGAACACCCAGGCCCAUGCAACCGGAUUCAGUGUCCGCUCUGUUCCGGCUGGCUCAAAAGCGUUUACUAGCUUCCCUUCGCGAGUUCCCUUGAAAUUAGCCUACACACGAGUGGUGCUGAAUAAGGUAUUUUGAGGCGGAAGGCACACGCGCGUUCCACACGUGGUGAUAAAACUUGCCUCGUGCGGUCAAUAGUCGUUGCACCGGUGUGUGCACCGGAAGGAGGGAACACUGGCUCUGUCGAGCUACCCCGAUGUGUCACUGUGACACUCGAGGUUACUCAUCGUUUGAGAGGCUCGGUUGAAAAACUGAGAGCGACGCUAGAUCAAGCACGAAUUAUGGUGGUAGCGAAUUACGGUACAUUCAUUCUUCUCGUUCUUGGUAACCGAACCUAGAAUUCGAUUUUCGUCACAAGAAACAACCCGUCCACAGAUUCUCUGGUGAAGCUGCAGUUGUCGCACAAGUCUCGAGUGGCCGGGGCGACCAUUGUAUGCCGGUUCGUAUUAGAAUUUUCUCAAAUGGAUUACGGAGCAGCCAACACGCUUCCAACGCGACAGCGUUCCAGCUUCCUUUUGCCAUAUGGAUUCUCUUAGCUGUAAGCAGCUCUAGACGUGCAAGUUGUAUGCUGGUACGCCGGACCGCACCUUCUGUGGUGCCCGUGGCUACUGGGAGGUGAUUUAUUUGUCCCGACGAGGCAGAGUUGUAACGCUGGUUCUUCGCUCUUCUUCCACUUAGUUUUUCUGAACGUUUGCACGAGUCCAACGGUUUGAUUUGGCACGUAGGGGAGCGGUUGUAUGCCGUAUAUAUGCUCCGCGCCCCGUGCGUGCUUCUUAUUUUGCGUUGCAUAUAUCUGAACAGCCACGGUGUAUUUCUACGGGGGUCGUGGGAACCGUUAGUGCCCUUUACGGUUACUUUUUGUUCCUUCCUGAGUCGUCCUUUUCGCAGAGACGAAGGAGGCGGACAGGGGCUUUCUUACCUCUUGUCCGCAGGGGACCCCCAGGGGGUUGAGUAGAAUUAAUGCACGUUGAUGCCGCAGGACGAUCUAACAACGAGCUCUCUUUUUUGAAUCUUCGGUUGAGAGGAGCCACCUUCGGGAGUACCUUUUCCGAGGCGUGCGUGGUUUUCAGCAGAAGAAGCAAGAACUGGUAUUGUGUCGGACCUUGCUGAGGAAGUCCACCCUCCCCUAGGAAUGUCUUCUCUGAUUACUGACGUGAAAGUCUAGUCCGCAAAGGCCACUUGCGUCGUUGUUAGCUGUCGCAGUCUCUCUGUUAAACGAAGAUGGAACGGCAACCUUAACUAAAACGUGGCGGGGGCGCGCUGGAACACUCCGGGAUACCUCUGAAGUUAUUUGUUUUUGUUGUCGUUCCCAUCCUCCAGCAACUCCAUAGAGGCCACUUCGACCCUCUAGCGAAGCCCGACGUUCCCAAACGCUGCGACCUUGUGUGUAUCGCGGCAUCAGAGGGGACAGGAGCGGGAAAAGACAAAUCUCGGCAAUUCAGUUGUGUCUCAGCUGACGUUUGGACGGGCUGUGGAGCCAUU